AAUAUAUAUUUAUAUAUGAAGUAUAUAUACUUUUGCUUCUUAUGUUUAUAUGUUAUUAAACAGCUGGCAGUAUUCACUUCUGCGGCCUUAAGAAAGUGUUAAAAUGAUGUGUGUAUGUGGCCAUGAGGGUCAUCACAGAUAUGCUCCACUGAUGUGCUAAAAUGCUUACAUAUAAUAGGUCUUAAUACUCUACCUCCUGGUUCUCUCUGUGAAAUAGCAGUUAGAUAUAUUUGUUUAAAAUGUAUACAUAAUAUGGUAAUAAAGACUACAGGUAGUCAUUCCUUUGCACAGUUCUGACAUGCAUGAAUUUUAGUUACCACAUUUUAUUUUACCAUGUGUAACAUUUUAUAAUUUUACUUACUGUGAGAUAAGAGAAAAUAUAUAUUGGUCUCUGCCACCAAGUUCCUGGCACAGGGCUCCUGAAACCAUUGUAAUUUCCUGAGUGAAAGGAGUGUCUUUCGUUCUAAUGAGGCAACUCUGGGUGGGCACCUGCAUGAGGGCUGGUCACGGGAAAGAAUAAGUCAUAAUUAGAUGCUUGGAAUUUUCAGCCCCUCCCCCUAUUCUCUUGAGAAGGAAGAAGGGCUGAAAAUAGAGUUAAUUAUCGAUCAUUCCUACAUGAUGAAGCCUCCAUAAAAAUCCCAAUAGUAUGGGGUCCAGAGAGCUUCCAGGUCAGUGAACACAUCCACGUACAAGGAGGGUGACACACAUCAACUCCACGGGGACAGAAGCUCCUGUGCUCCAGACCGUCCCAGACCUCACCCUAUGUAUCUCUUCAUCAGAUCUUUCAAUAAACUAGUAGAUGUCAGUGUUUCCCUGAGUUCUUGCAAACUGUUCUAGCAAAUAAUCAAGUCCAUGGGGCAGGAGGUCAUGGGAAAGUCGAUUUGUAGCCAAGUCACACAGAAGUUGUGGAUAAGCUGGGGUCCUACUACUUGCGAUUGACAUCUAAAGUAGGGGCACUCUUGUGGGACUGAGCCCUUAACCUGUGGGAUGUGAUGCUAUCUCCAGGUAAUAGUGUCAGAAUUAAAUAGUAGGAUGACACCCAGCUGGUGUCGCAGAAUUGCUUCAUGUGGGGAAAAAACCCCACAUGUUUGGUGGCCGGAAGUGUCAGCAGUAAAGCGUCCUGUGUGAAAGUAAAGGAGAAGGGCACAGGAGGAGAACUGAAGGUUUCUGCAAUACAGUCACCAAGUGUAUUAGUUUCCUAGUGCUGCUGUAACAAAGUGCCACAAACUGAGUGACUUAAAACAACCGAAAUUUAUUCUCUUAGAGUUUUUCUGGAGGUAGAAGUCUGGUGUCGGCAGAGCCCUCAUUCCUUGCCCCUUAGAGCUUCUGGCAGCCCCAGGUGCUCCUUGGUUAAUAGCCACAUAACUCCAAUCUCUGCCUCCAUCUUCACACGAUGUUCUUCCUACCCAUCUUCACGUUGUCUUCUUACAAGGACAUGAGUCAUGCUGGAUUAAUGGCCCAUCCUAUUCCAGGAUGACCUCAUCUGAACUAAUUACAUCUACAACAACUCUGUUUCCAAAUAAGUUCACAUUCUAAAGGACGAGGGGUUAAGACUUCAAAUUAUUUUUCAGGAUCACCAUUCAACUCACAGCACAACGGUUUCACUAAAUAACACCAGUCCCCCAACAACAUGUUUCACAUUUCAGUUACCAUGGUAUAUUAACUGUGAGUAAUUGCAUAAAGUAAAAACCGUGCUGAUAGCUUUUGUUAAAAACAAGGCAACGGGCCCCAAAUGGAGUUGUUUAUUCUAAGCCCCAGAUCACCAAGCUGAGACUUGACCGAAUUACAGUUUCAGCUCUCCCCGAAAUGGAAUCUUAAACCAGUCAGUCAGGGAUCAGCUGAUAGCACUAGUUAGUAAUCUGCUGAUAGAACCCUGCCAUCUCCCAAAGGAAAGUAACCUUGCUGUAACCAACUCACUUUUUUGCCUAGUAUAACUUCCUUGUUCCUGCUCCCUUCUGCCUAUAAAAGUCUUUCAUUUUGUACCGCUCCUCAGAGCUCCUUUCUGUCUGUUAGAUCGGAUGCUGCCCGAUUCAAAUUGAUUUUUGUUCAAAUAAACUCAAAAUUUUUAAUAUACCUCCGUUUAUCUUUUAACAGUCUUCAGCACAAAAAUCACUAUGUAAAUAACAGACGCACAUCAUCAUCAGUGACCAAUCACGUCACUUCUUCAAAGUCUGUCGGUGACGGAUCACUGCGCAUAUCAUAGGAGUAGCAUUGCAAUAAGCAGCUAACACCCUUAAUGCUACAGAAACCAAGGAAAGAGGUUGGAAUUAUUAAAACUUAAAAGUUUAGAGAAAACUCCAUGUAGAGCUAAAAUCUAGACUUCUGAGGAAUAGGCGCUGAGGGGGCCGCAGUCAGUUGCUGCUGGUGUCUCUGAGGGUAUUGGAGGCAAAUUAAGUUCAUUCUGCUACUGCUGGGAAGUCUGCAAACUAGAUUCAGCUGCUUCUACAAGCAGGCACUGCUGCUGCCAGGGUGAAGAAGCAUUGUUGGGGUGAUGCUCACAGGAACCACAAGGAGACAGGAAGCAGACAGGAAGUGAUAUUCUGGAGAAAGAUUCAAAUCUGUGUGAACACAUCUGCUAAGUGAUCCACUAUUUUUUUGUGGCUUCUUGUGAUGGAGGGGUGAGCAUGCAUGGAGAGACCGUCUGCCUGUGACCAUCCUGGACAACGCCUGCUCGUCUCUCAGCAUCUCCGCUCAGUCCUGCUUCCUUGGUGAAGUCUUCCACAACUCCCAAGGUGGAGAGUUCGGAGAAGACAACCACACCCUCACUUCUGGAGGUAGAUCGUCAUUAGUUUAAGCCAAUCAACAGAUGACAUUCCUCUGGCUACAAUUGGUCCAGGGACUUAAAAAGGAAGCCUAUACUCCCAGUUGCCCUUGGCAGUCAUCUUUCAACUACAAGGGGAACCAGCCAUAGGAUGAACCCUAUGCCAAGAGGAACAGACACCUGAGACCUUGAUUAUGUCGUUGAGCUCCACCUGGAGCCUACAUUAGGAGGACUUCCUGUUAUAUAGAGUGUUAUGGACUGAACUGUGUUCACUCCAAAUUUGUAGGUUGAAGUCCUGAUCCCUAGUACUUUAGAAUGGCACUGUAUUUGGAGAUAAUUAAGGUUAAAUGAAGUCCUAAGGGUGGGCCCUAAUCCAAUAUGACUUCUGUCCUUGUAAGAAGAAAGAGAGACACUAGGGAUACAUGAGCACAGAUGAAAGGCCAUGUGAGGACACAGCAAGAAGAUGGGGACCAUCUGCAAGCCCAGGAGAGAGGCCUCAGGAGAAACCAGCCCUGUUGACACCUUGAUCUUGGACUUCCAGCCUCCAGAGCUGUGAGGAAUAAAUUUCUGUUGCUUUAGCCCUCCAGUUUGUGGUGUUUUGUUUCGUUAGCCCCAGCAGACUAAUACAUAAGGUAAUACAUUUUCUCACUGCUUAAGAAAUGUUGAGUUGAGAUUUUCUAUUACUUGCAGCCAGAAUCAUUUUGACACAGGAUAUUCGUGAUCUCCUUCCCUGCCCCUUUCUGCAAGUCUUUUUUUUUUUUUAAGAUUGUCACCGGAGCUAACAUCUGUUGCCAGCCUUCUUUUUCUUCUUCUUCGUCUUCUCCUCCCCAAAGCCCCACAGUACAUAGUUGUAUAUUCUAGCUGUAGGUCCCUCUGGCUGUGCUAUGUGAGAUGCCAUCUCAGCAUGGCUUGAUGAGCAAUGCCAUGUCCCCACCCAGAAUCUGAACUGGUGAAACCCUGGGCCACCGAAGCGGAGGGUGCAAACUUAUCCACUUGGCCAUGGGGCUGGCCCCUCUGCAAGACUUCUCUAUGCUGCUUUGUCACUUGUUUUCUGUUUCUCAGGGCACAGAAGCCAGUUGUUUCUAUUGCAUCCUUGCCUUUAGAUGGGGUUUCUAGGAAAAUAAUUUAAAAAGACAUAUUUGGGUCCAUAUGUGCCAAUUCCAAAAUCUCAGAAGAGAAAGCCAGAUUGGUGCAGCUUGGGUCUGGUUAGCACCCUUGAACCAAUCAGCUGAGGCUAAGAGGACAGGAGACAUGGAGUAGUUGAAAGGGAUUAUGGGAGUAAACUCUUAGAGAAAGAGAAUGGGCAUGUUUCUCUUAUAGGAGAUAUGGGGACAAGCAGGAAAUAAUUGGCUUUUUGAAUAUAGAAAUCUUAUUCAUCAUUAUAUUCCUAGUCCCUAGCACAUAUAAUGGAUCUGAGUAAAUCUGACUUAAACUAAGGAAUAAAAGAUGGGCAAUUGCUGGAAUAUAGAAAAAUAUUGAAUCCAUCUUUGUUUAGUGAAAGAGACACAGAUCUAUCUUGGUCUGUGUAGUGGAUGGUGUGGUUUGUAGUCCAGACACCCUCUCCCAGCCCAAGCCUGAAGAACUCAUUCCUCCAGCCGCUGGGAGUACUGGCAGCUGAUGUGUUUCAGCUGAGUCUCUCUCAGAAUUUUCCUUGGCUAAAGAGUGCUUCCUAGUCCAAGGCCAGGCCUCCUUCCGGGAGGCAAUUCAUGUCCAAAAACUGGUGAAUGCGGAGAUAUACAGACCUAGCCUUGUUGUUUCAACUUGGGCAACUCUGGAGAACUCAUCCCGACUCCAGAGCUCCUGAUAGGAUGGCCUGUGGCAUUUGUUUCGUCUGAAUCACAGUUCAGCUUUUCUCAUUGCACAACCUUGUUUCUUUAUUUCCCCACAGGAGUUGAUUCUAAGAGUAAUCCCCGAUAAAGCUCCCGCAGGCAAAUCUCUGCCUCAGAAUUUGGUUCAUGGUGAAUUCAUCCCGCAACAACUGGUGCCUGAGUGUCUGAGAUAGCAGACUCUAAGAGGGGACUUUGGAAAUGGAUCACUCAUGGGCCAAGUAUCAACGGGAGCCCCGUCCAUGUUGGUAGAAAUAGCAAAUAGUCCAUGGCAUGCUGUAGCAGGACAAUGUUUAAAACUUUCACCAAUGGUGAACUUGGAUCGUAUAUCAGCGGAAGGAAUGCACUGAUGGAUUCAAAGUAACACUCAUUUCAGAAUGACAGAGGAAAUAAUAAAUACAAGGACAAUGAAAUUGGUUGGUUAUUUCUGAGGGCCAUGGAAUCUCUGAAGAAACAUAAUGAAAGGGUGAUUAGUUAUCAAUUAAAGGCUAAGUACGAAAGCCAGAGGGCCUCCUUGGUAGCAUAAAAGAGACUCAUCUUCUGCAGCUGUAGGUCCCCAAAAAGCUGAGGGUGACAAGAGUAGCAGAGCUCUAGAGAGAAUUAAAUUCUCAGCCACAGCAAGUCUGCUCUGCUCAAGUCAGGGCUCUGACUGGGGAGGAGCAGGCUCCUGAGAUAGGGGAUGGAGAUGUCUGGCUUGAUGCACUUGACAGUAUUAAAUCCUCAGAUUCCUCUCCAGACGUGGCUCACUCUGUUAAAGGCUAAUUCUCUCCCUUCAGGGAAGUAGACAGUUCUCUCCCUAAAUAAGCAAGUAGACAAUGACUGUUUAUGUCACCCAGGCUCUGUCAUCAGUCACCCCAGUGCUGGGUACUGCGUACAGGAACAGGGUAGACAUGGUAGCAAGGACAGAGCCCACGCCCUGGUCCUACAGAAUGGGUUGCCACAUACCAGGACUGAUCCAGCUGUUGUUGCUGCCAAAUGCUGCUGAGACCAACCCUAGGCCCCUGAUAUGCCACUUGGUGGCAAGUUAACUACAUUGGAUCUAUUUCAGCAAUUCAUCUCGACUGGAACUGACACACAUUCUGGGUACCACUCGUGUCUAUAGGACCUCAUCCAGCAUCAUUAUCUGAGAGCAUACAAAGUGUUUCAUUGCUGACAUGGGAUCCUGGGUGACAUCUCAUUGGACUAGGGGACCCAUGUUACAGCAUAGGAGAUAUAGCAGUUCAUACAUGAUCUUAAGAUCCGCUAGCCCUAUCACAUACUAUUCCACAGAGAGGCUGCUGGUUUGAUAAAGUGAUGGAACAGCUUUGAUUAAAAACAGAUGUAAUAAAACCCAUUGAGGUGCCAGCUUGGAGAGAACUCAGAGAGGAUGUGGGCACCAGUCUCCAGGAUCAGUAUAUAUCUUUUUUUUUUUUUGAGGAAGAUUAGCCCUGAGCUAACUACUGCCAGUCCUCCUCUCUUUUGCUGAGGAAGCCUGGCCCUGAGCUAACAUCCGUGCCCAUCUUCCUUUACUUUAUAUGUGGGACCCCUACCACCGCAUGGCGUGCUAAGCCGUGCCGUGUCCGUACCCGGGAUCCGAACCGACGAACCCGGGGCUGCCGAGAAGCGGAACGUGUGAACUUAACUGCUGCGCCACCAGCCAGGCCCCUCAGUAUAUAUCUUAAAUCAACUAGCAUUGUAUAAUGUUGAGUCUCCAGUAAGCAGAUGUGAUAGAGUCAUUUACAGCUGGACUGGAAAGACUGUCUCUUUGUCUCUGGAGGUGUCUGGUUUUCGACUCUUAGCCAAGAUAAGAGCAGUGGGAUUUAUGAUGUGCUGUCAAAGGCCUGAAACUCCCAAGGCCAAUUUCUUUACUGACAGUCUUCAACUGGCCUAACCGGCUUGACAAGCCUGGCCAAGAGUGCAUGAAAACUCCAUUGGGAACUUCUGCAUUUAGACUUCCCAAAGCUAAGCUUCCUUGCACAGAUAUUUGGUGGUUUGACCCAGAUUCAGAGUGCAAUUGUGUUCGAAUAAGGACCCUGGGAAGUUAUAUAUGCAAUAUCUCUGAGACUUCCAAUGUAUGCUCAAGCUUGCCAUCUCUUACUGCAACGUAUUAUUUGCCUUUAAAUAAAAGCCGUAAGUGAGUCUGCUUAGUCCUUUCAAAUCUCUGAACUUGGGAAAUCUUUGCAGUAAAAUAUAUGGGUCUGGGAAACAAUGGAUGAGUGCAGGAUUGGCUCCACUAACCAUCACUCCCCAGUAACGCACUGGGGAAGCUGUGUUCACUGUCUCUGAAACUCUGCAGAUUUGAGAUCCUGCUUCUCAAAGAGGAAACACUAGGGGACACAGCAAGUGUUUCAUUAAACCUUAAGCUAUAGCUGUCACUCAGUUUCUUCAAACUCAUUGUGCCAAAAGACUUGCAGUCAAGGAAAGGAUUCACCAUCCUGGGAGAAGUAAUUAACUCUCAUCAUCAGGAAAGAAUAUGUUUGGCAACCAUGUGAUCUACUUGGCUUCUUGAUACUCCCUUGCCCAAUUUUUUUUUUUUGAGGAAGAUUAGCCCUGAGCUAACAUCUGCUGCCAAUCCUCCUCUUUUUGCUGAGGAAGACUGGCCCUGAACUAACAUCUGUGACCAUCUUCCUCUACUUUAUAUGUGGAACACCUGCCACAGCAUGGCUUGCCAAGCAGUGCUAUGUCCGCACCCCGGAUCGGAAGCACCAAAGCGGAACGUGUACACUUAACUGCUGUGCCACUGGGCCGGCCCCCCAGUUUUGACUGUGAAUGAACAAGUAAAAUAAGCACAUCUGGAGAAGGGGAUGAUGACCAGGGUCUUAGACCCCACAGGAAUGAGGUUCUGGGUCACCCCACCUAGGUAAACCACGUAGGCCAGAAGGGGUAAAGGGAAUCUAGAAGUGGUAGUAGCGGACAAUGAUGAUGAGUGUUAGUUAUGGUCUUGAGCUAAGCUGCACGGUGGGUGCUGGAGUGCAUUUCACUAACCUUUCUCUCACAAUUCUUUCCCCAACUCCCUGCUUCCAACAGGUCCUUUAAAAUCCUAGAGGAGCUGCUCUUAGAACUUAUUUGAAGCGAGUGGAUCCGAGAAGCCCAGGGAUGGACUGUGGACCACCCAGACCCCCAAAGGCAGGACGGAAGCUCCGAGUCCCCCAGCUGCUGAGAAUGGUGUCAGCCAACAGUUCUCUGCCGAGCCUUUCUCCAGGACCCGGCCUUGGUUGAAGAGUGCCGCCUUGCCGGAGGCCUCCCCCGUCCCAGGCGUAGCUCAUACCCAAUGUCUGGUUGUUGUGGGGAUAUAAAAUCCUGAUCCUCUUGCCCAGUUUGGAGUAACUCUGGAGUGUCAUCCUGUCCCUAGAGUUCCCUUUAGGAUUAGCUGAGGCCUUUGUUGUGACUGUGUCACUGUUCAACUUUUCUCUCUGCUCAGUUUUACUUCUUUUCCACCCCCAGAGGUUUUGUCGUUGAGAGUGCUCCGCACUAAACAUUCUGCACUCAAUCUCUGUCACAGUUUGCUUUUCAGGGAACUCAGCCAUCUGAAGGCAUCUUUCCAAACCCGGCCUAGUCCCCACGGAGCCCGUAAUUGCCCUCUCACUUUUGAUGGAAGACUACAACGGUUCUCAAACAGUAUUUCAAGGAAGCUCUGGGUGGAGGUGCUUCACUGCAAGUGUUUAAUUUCAAUAGCAUUCCUGAAAGACCAUUUUAACCAUGAAAACCACAAAAACCAACAAUAAGCACUAUUGCAACGAUAAAAACUAUUUUAAAACUGUGAACACAGAAAUGUAAAUGUGUUCUAUACUAAAUUUUACACAUCUUUGACAGUGUAUUAACUUGUGGUGCCAGCUCAUAUCAUUUCCGGGCAGACCUCAGAAGAAAGUUUCUCUUUCAUUAUGGCGCAUAUAUUUCAACUCUUAAAAUGUGUUGCCUAAUGAUGGGGACACAUUCUGAGAAACGCGUCGUUAGGUGAUUUUGUUGUGCCAACAUCAUAUAGCUUGCUUACACAAACCUAGAUGGUAUAGCCUACUACACACCUAGGCUGGAUGGUACUAAUCUUACAGGACCACCGUCAUACACACGGUUCGUCGUUGACUGAAAUGCCGUUAUGUGGUGCAUGACUGUAAUUAUUAUUAUUAUUUUUUAAAGAUUUUAUUUUUUCCUUUUUCUCCCCAAAGCCCCCCGGUACAUAGUUGUACAUUUUUAGUUGUGGGUCUUUCUAGUUGUGGCAUGUGGGAUGCCGCCUCAGCAUGUCCUGAUGAGUGGUGCCAUGUCCGCGCCCAGUAUUCGAACCAAAACCCUGGACCACCACAGCGGAGCACACGAACUUAACCACUCGGCCACAGGGCCGGCCUCUAUUUUUGAAUAUAUAAUACAGGUACACAUUAUAGAACUCAAAAAGUACAAAGGAAUAUAUAUAAAAUACAAUAAAAAUUCCCUUCCACUCCUGUCUUCUGGUUUCCCAGUUCCCUUGCCAGGGGAAACCAUAGCUCUUAAUAUUCUAUGUAUUACUCUACACACACACACACACACACACACACACACACUUUUCUCCCCUGUAUACACUGUUG
ensembl:lncRNA